CUUUUCGGAGAACGUUUCAUAGACGGAAGUAGAUUCCAUGGGCCUCCAAGACAAUAGGAUCCUCUCUCCAUUCCUCGCCAUAUGGGUUUUGUUUUUUAAGUCAUUUGGUUUGGGGAGGGCCUUGUUUUUUUUCUGUUUUGAUAUUUUUAUUUUUUCUGCAGUCACCGGCUGCCAACAUAAUCUGCACCAACUGGAGAUCAGAAACCAAAAAAAAAAAAAAAUUUUAACCACAACAAAAAAAAAAAAUCAAAAAAACCAAAACAGACCUAAAACCAGACAGCCAAACAGCUCAGAGGCACACAGUUACCUGCUGCCGGGUAACCAGGCGCGCUCCCAAGGCCAAAAGCGCGAGCGUAGUGGGGCCACUGGCACACCUCAUACCAGGAGACACGCACACGGAGCGCUACACAGCCAGAAGCACCGCACCACCGCACUGCAGCACAUAUGUGAGGAGGUGACAACAUGGAGGGACACUACCCACUUCAUACACCUUUAUUUCCACUUUUCUGAUAUCUUCUGAGGACAGAACAUCUGUGAGCCAUUUUUGAUUUAAUCAAAAUAUUGACUUUUAAAACAAUUCUUUAAAAAAAUUGUAGCGGAUGUGUACCGUGACUUGUAUUUAUGACUGUAAAACCAUGUGAUGCAGGGUCGCAGUGUAUGUUUGAUGGGACGCCAUCUUUCAGAACUGUGCUAACUCACUGUUGAAGCGUCCAAUGGUAAGAGAAAAUACAGAUUUGUUUUUUGUGACAAAUGGACAUUGUACUCUGUACUUCUGCUGUAAGUAGUCCUUUUCCAUCUUUGUAAUGACUGGUAACAAAACCCAGGCCGGGUGGCAGGAAAGGGCAGUGGUUUCGAGCCCUGGGUUUUGGAGUCAGCCAGACCUGGGUUCAAAUAUGGCUCAGCCACGGUCUUGUUUUGUGACUUUGGGCCAAAGUGUCUUUUAACUGCUCAGUUAAAAGUUAACGACUCAGUCUUCUUAUCUGUAAAAUGGGGCUGAAAUAUCAGAACCUACCUCAUAGGGUUGUUGUGAGGAAUUUGAGAAGCUGUGAUGUCUGUAAAGCGGCUAGCCCAGUGCCUGCCACUUAAGCGCUAAGUUAAAGGCAGUGAUUACGAACUGCUGGGGUCGGGGUGGAUCUGCGCCAUUGCUGGGUGUGGGAAUGUCGAUGCCUUGUACAUGAUUGCUUCUUUGAACUGAUUCUGCUGUUGCCCUGCUUGUCAGCUACAGUCAGUCCCUCUUGGGCUGGCGGGACUGGGAGGGAGGGGGGACUGGGAUUAAGAAAGAAGGGAUCUAACAGAGACAGUCUGGAGCUCCUAGAACCUUGGGGGCUUUGGGGGUCAAGCUUGCUUGCUUCCCUCCGGGGUUAUUUUCCUCUUAAUCUACUCUCCCUUCAUUGGGAGUCACUUUAGAAAGCUGCUUUUGGCCCGCCAUAAUAUAUCAGCUUCUGUAGCAGCUGCACAUUCCCCAGAGGGCCUGGGAGCUGGGCUUUCUCCCAGGGCCAGGGUAGGUGAGAGCACAGAACCUGGCCUUGUCCUUCACAGAACAAGACCAGCCCUUUGGUAUGAGCAGGGGAAGGAGAGUGGGCACCAGCUUUGAGGCUCGGGCUUCAUGCCUGCCGUAGGUCAGAUCACAAAAGGAGGCCCCACAGCCCUCGAGGAAGGGAGGGCUUGCAGUUUGCAGGAGCUGGGGGCUCAGAUCAGCCUGUGCAGUCAGGAGGGAGGGAGAGACCCUAAUUUCUGAGUGAGACUCCUAACUGUGUUCUCUCUCCACAGGUGACCCUGGCAGCAACCCCAACAAACGCCAGAGGCAGCCCCCUCUCCUGGGAGAUCACCCCGCAGAAUAUGGUGAGGGCAGGGGGUUCCCCUCCGUGGACUCCCGUGGCUCAUGUGCCCCUGCCCGCCGCCCGCCGUGCAAAUUCUCACCCGUCCUCCCUCUCUUUCCUUCCCACCCCCCAGGAGGGCCCCACGGUGGGUACCACAGCCAUUACCAUGAUGAGGGCUACGGGCCCCCCCCACCUCACUACGAAGGGAGAAGGAUGGGUCCACCAGUGGGGGGUCACCGUCGGGGCCCAAGUCGCUACGGCCCCCAGUAUGGGCACCCCCCACCCCCUCCCCCACCACCCGAGUAUGGCCCUCACGCCGACAGCCCUGUGCUCAUGGUCUAUGGCUUGGAUCAAUCUAAGAUGAACUGUGACCGAGUCUUCAAUGUCUUCUGCUUAUAUGGCAAUGUGGAGAAGGUGAAAUUCAUGAAAAGCAAGCCGGGGGCCGCCAUGGUGGAGAUGGCUGAUGGCUACGCUGUAGACCGGGCCAUUACCCACCUCAACAACAACUUCAUGUUUGGGCAGAAGCUGAAUGUCUGUGUCUCCAAGCAGCCAGCCAUCAUGCCCGGUCAGUCAUACGGGUUGGAAGACGGGUCUUGCAGUUACAAAGACUUCAGUGAAUCCCGGAACAAUCGGUUCUCCACCCCAGAGCAGGCAGCCAAGAACCGCAUCCAGCACCCCAGCAAUGUGCUGCACUUCUUCAACGCCCCGCUGGAGGUGACCGAGGAGAACUUCUUUGAGAUCUGCGAUGAGCUGGGAGUGAAGCGGCCAUCUUCUGUGAAAGUAUUCUCAGGCAAAAGUGAGCGCAGCUCCUCUGGACUGCUGGAGUGGGAAUCCAAGAGCGAUGCCCUGGAGACUCUGGGCUUCCUGAACCAUUACCAGAUGAAAAACCCAAAUGGUCCAUACCCUUACACUCUGAAGUUGUGUUUCUCCACUGCUCAGCACGCCUCCUAAUUAGGUGCCUAGGAAGAGUCCCAUCUGAGCAGGAAGACAUUUCUCUUUCCUUUAUGCCAUUUUUUGUUUUUGUUAUUUGCAAAAGAUCUUGUAUUCCUUUUUUUUUUUUUUUUUUUUAAAUGCUAGGUUUGUAGAGGCUUAACCUUAAUGGAAACGCUGGAAGUCUGCAGGGGGAGGGAGAGGGGAACUGGUAUCUCCCAAGAUUAACCUUCACUUUUAAAAAAUUAUUGUACAUGUGAUUUUUUUUUUCCUGUUCAUACAUUUGUGCUGCCCAUGUACUCUUGGCACAUUUCAAUAAAAUUGUUUGGAAAAU
rnacentral:sRNA from 1 species